rnacentral:rRNA from 1 species
CAGCCGCCGCGGUAAUACGUAGGUGGCAAGCGUUGUCCGGAAUUAUUGGGCGUAAAGGGCUCGCAGGCGGUUUCUUAAGUCUGAUGUGAAAGCCCCCGGCUCAACCGGGGAGGGUCAUUGGAAACUGGGAAACUUGAGUGCAGAAGAGGAGAGUGGAAUUCCACGUGUAGCGGUGAAAUGUGUAGAGAUGUGGAGGAACACCAGUGGCGAAGGCGACUCUCUGGUCUGUAACUGACGCUGAGGAGCGAAAGCGUGGGGAGCGAACAGGAUUAGAGACCCGAGUAGUCCCUGUCUCUUAUAC